rnacentral:rRNA from 1 species
CGGCAGCCGCGGUAAUACGGAGGGUGCGAGCGUUAAUCGGAAUUACUGGGCGUAAAGCGCAUGCAGGUGGUUUGUUAAGUCAGAUGUGAAAGCCCGGGGCUCAACCUCGGAAUUGCAUUUGAAACUGGCAAACUAGAGUACUGUAGAGGGGGUAGAAUUUCAGGUGUAGCGGUGAAAUGCGUAGAGAUCUGAAGGAAUACCGGUGGCGAAGGCGGCCCCCUGGACAGAUACUGACACUCAGAUGCGAAAGCGUGGGGAGCAAACAGGAUUAGAUACCCUGGUAG